rnacentral:sRNA from 1 species
UCUCAGGCUAACUAUUUUUCCAUGAUCAAGUCCUUGAACAUUGCUGUUUGGUGGUGGGCUCGCUGAGGCGGCCUCGACCAAUCGUGUCCAAAGACGACGACGAGUGAGCCGCCCGAAACUUCGAGGCGGCUUUUUUGUUUUAUCGCCGCCUGUCGUCCGGGCACCGAUAACGGAGUGGAACUA